ACAGUGAUGAAAAUUUUGGUCCGUGUUUAUGAAUUUCUUUGAUUACCAAUUAAAACCAUUCCUGAUUUGA